rnacentral:rRNA from 1 species
CCUACGGGUGGCUGCAGUGGGGAAUAUUGCACAAUGGGGGAAACCCUGAUGCAGCGACGCCGCGUGAAGGAAGAAGUAUCUCGGUAUGUAAACUUCUAUCAGCAGGGAAGAAAACAGACGGUACCUGACUAAGAAGCCCCGGCUAACUACGUGCCAGCAGCCGCGGUAAUACGUAGGGGGCAAGCGUUAUCCGGAUUUACUGGGUGUAAAGGGGGCGCAGACGGCGAUGCAAGCCAGGAGUGAAAGCCCGGGGCCCAACCCCGGGACUGCUCUUGGAACUGCGUGGCUGGAGUGCAGGAGGGGCAGGCGGAAUUCCUGGUGUAGCGGUGAAAUGCGUAGAUAUCAGGAGGAACACCGGUGGCGAAGGCGGCCUGCUGGACUGCAACUGACGUUGAGGCCCGAAAGCGUGGGGAGCAAACAGGAUUAGAUACCCCAGU